GAUCGAUAAAGAAGGAUUUAUCGAAUAGUUCUUAAAUAUGUUCGUGACUAGAUGAUACGUCAUUAAUACAAUAAUAACAUUUCUCGAGUGUAGAUCGUUGUGUGCCAUAUAAGUUGGUUGUCCUCAUAACCAAGAAAUGUGGAGACACUAGUAUGGUAUACAGGUGAGAUAUAGGAGUACAUUAUCAUGGAACAAGUGACUCACCUGCUGAGUGCUCUGUUAUCAAGAGCAGCUCAUGAAACGUAUGAGCAUACAUGUCCCUCAGACUUGAGAUCACCAUAGUGACUUGCAAGCAACUCACUAUACUUAGGUACUAAACUACCUAUAUUUCUAAUGC
rnacentral:lncRNA from 1 species